ACAACAGCUGCACACAGACAAUCCACUGUAUACAACAGUGUGGAUUAUCUGACUCAUUUUGCAACACUUCUACAUUUGGCCACAAAGUGUAG